ACUGCUGUGUCGAGGGCUAACGUUACUAACGGUAGUUUCGCGGUACUGCUGUCUCGCGCGCUAACAUUACUAACGGUAGUUUCGCGGUACUGCUGUGUCGAGGGCUAACGGUAGUUUUGCGGUACUGCUGUGUCGAGGGCUAACGGUAGUUUCGCGGUACUGCUGUGUCGAGGGUUAACGUGAGUUUCGCGGAACUGCGGUCUCGCUGUCUUGCAUUUCACCGGCGUAUGGUUUAAUUGGCCGACUUUUAUCGCAGGCAUAUGCUAAACUGCGACAGGGACUAAAGAGGAAAAAGCGAGUGCCUAAUUGAUACCAAAACGUUUCUGCAAGAUAUCACCAUGCUGCUGAAGUCAAAAACAAAUUUGGACUCCAUGAUGCAGCUGAACUUCACAUAUUUGAUGAAACUGACACCGCAGUGGAGGAAGACAUUCUUCUUGAACUGAUAGAGUCCAAUCCAGACCUUUGCCUGAUCGUGCGUGACAGCAUUUCAGAUGAAGAUCAUUCAACACCAUCUUCUCUCACGGAUACCAUGACGCUUUCUUCAAGUGACAAUGACCUCUCCGGUCAAAGACAAAGGGGGAUUUUGAGCUCUGAGGUCAUGGACAGGUCUACAAAAAAGGUUUCGGAUUCAGAGACUGCAAAAGAGGUACUUGAAAGCAGUAGAUGUCAGUUAACAUUUUUACUCACAAUAUCAUCAAGAAAAUUGUUUAACUGAAUGAUGAUUCUCACCAAUUGGACUAUAAUUAAAUUUAGAAUGGUGAGUGCCAGAUUGAGAAAGUUACGAAACUUAGUUUAGUGUAAAUUAAUAAUUAACCCAGGGUUUAGCUGUUGUGUAGCUUUGUAUUAUGUAACUCUUCUUUCCAUACAUAUUUAUUCAAUUAGGUUAAUUUACAUACAUGGAACGGUGCCUUGUCUUUUG